rnacentral:rRNA from 1 species
UGUGAGACAGGUGCUGCAUGGCUGUCGUCAGCUCGUGUUGUGAAAUGUUGGGUUAAGUCCCGCAACGAGCGCAACCCUUAUCCUUUGUUGCCAGCGGUUAGGCCGGGAACUCAAAGGAGACUGCCAGUGAUAAACUGGAGGAAGGUGGGAUGACGUCAAGUCAUCAUGCCCUUACGACCAGGGCUACACACGUGCUACAAUGGCAUAUACAAAGAGAAGCGACCUCGCGAGAGCAAGCGGACCUCAUAAAGUAUGUCGUAGUCCGGAUUGGAGUCUGCAACUCGACUCCAUGAAGUCGGAAUCGCUAGUAAUCGUAGAUCAGAAUGCUACGGUGAAUACGUUCCCGGGCCUUGUACACACCGCCCGUCACACCAUGGGAGUGGGUUGCAAA